rnacentral:rRNA from 1 species
UACGAAGGGGGCUAGCGUUGCUCGGAAUUACUGGGCGUAAAGGGCGCGUAGGCGGACAGUUUAGUCAGAGGUGAAAGCCCAGGGCUCAACCUUGGAAUUGCCUUUGAUACUGGCUGUCUUGAGUUCGGGAGAGGUGAGUGGAAUGCCGAGUGUAGAGGUGAAAUUCGUAGAUAUUCGGCGGAACACCAGUGGCGAAGGCGACUCACUGGCCCGAUACUGACGCUGAGGCGCGAAAGCGUGGGGAGCAAACAGGAUUAGAAACCGAGUAGUCC